AACCCAUGGUGAGGGCAUCUUCUCAAGAGGUCCUUGUAUCUCUCCCAUGCAUCGUAGUAAAUCCAUCUGCACAAAGGAAGAAAUAUCAUUAAGUAAUUU
rfam:Gossypium hirsutum cultivar TM-1 chromosome 8, whole genome shotgun sequence